GAACAUGCGAUGAGAAAGAAGAGUACAUAUUGCGAUGCCUUCAGAGAGCUUGUGGGUGGUGCGAACAAGCGGCUAGCAAUAUGGAAUGGGCUUUCGAGCAUCCGGCUGAAUGAGCAGUUGGCUUUAGUAGGCUUUGGACGUCUGCCUUACGUUAUCAAGGCGCCAUGCGCAUAAAAGCAUGGGCAAAGUGAUUGCACGUCAUGUGCAAUAACUAGGGUGGCAACGCGGUCCUAUCGUCCCUAAC
rnacentral:ncRNA from 1 species